CUCCGGUCUUCAGCUUCCCACUGGGACUCGGCGUGGGCAGAGCGCCGAGGAGAGGCCUGCUCCAGGUUUGGGGCGUGACUGUUGGCACUUUUGUUUUUGCGAUCCUGCGUUGGUCUCCCUCCAAUAAAAGCGAUGGCUGGGGAACAGGCACUCAAGGAUGUCGUGCUCCGGUCACCGCCGUCUCAGUCUUCCCCGAGGAGACCUCAAACUCUCAGAAAGAGCUGCCGCUGGGAGACCCUGAGGCACCGAAGGCGCGGCUACCUGUUUUCCUUCAACCCCGUGUGCGCACGUUCGGCGACCCACACCCCAGUUUCCAGAUACAGCGCCCCCAGCCUGGCUCCGUGCAAGAAGCAUGGAGCUAGGAUCCCCUGACCUGCUAGACGUGUUGCUGGAGCCCCCAGAAGAUAUCUUCUCAACAGGAUCCUUACUGGAACUGGGAUUCAACUGUUCCCCUCCAGAGGUUCCAGUGACUAGGCUACAAGAACAGGCGCUACAUGGCUGGGAUUCUAGUGGGGGCCAUGGCUGUGGACUUCAAGAGAGUGAAUCUGAAGAUUUCCUGAAGCUUUUCAUUGAUCCCAAUGAGGUGUAUUGUUCAGAAGCAUCUCCUGGCAGUGACAGUGGCAACUCUGAGGAUCCUGGCCUCUCAGACAGUCCCCCUGCCCUGCAGGCACCCAGCUCUCCUGCCCUCUAUGAGGUUGUCUAUGAGGCAGAGGCCCUGCAGAGGAUGCAGGGGGAAGCCAGGCCAACCUUAGGACUCAUCUCCAUUCAGCUAGAUCAGUGGAGCCCACAAUUCAUGGUGCCAGAUGCCUGCAUGGUCAGUGAACUGACCUUUGAUGCUCAUGCACACAUCCUGCCCAGAAGCACUGCAGCCCCAGUGCCUCCUUCCACACUUCUGCCCUGUCAAACUCUGUUCCUGACAGAUGAGGAGAAGCGUCUGCUGGGGCAGGAAGGGGUUUCUCUGCCCUCUCACCUGCCCCUCACCAAGGCAGAGGAGAGAAUCCUCAAGAAGGUCAGGAGGAAAAUCCGUAACAAGCAGUCAGCUCAGGACAGUCGGCGACGGAAGAAAGAAUACAUCGAUGGGCUGGAGAACAGGGUGGCAGCCUGUUCUGCACAGAACCAGGAGCUACAGAAGAAAGUCCAGGAGCUGGAGAGACACAACCUCUCCUUGGUGGCUCAGCUCCGUCAGCUCCAGACGCUCAUUGCUCAAACCUCAAACAAAGCUGCCCAGACAAGCACUUGCGUUCUGAUCCUUCUUUUUUCUUUGGUUCUCAUCAUCCUGCCCAGCUUCAGUCCCUUUCAGGGUCUACCAGAAGCGGGGCCUGAGGACUACCAGCCUCGUGGAGGUGAGAAGCUCCCUGUGAUUUCCAGAAAUAUCUUGACCCAUGUGGAUAUGACAGAAAGUCGAGAGACUCCAGUGGAAGAGUCCACAAUGGGAGAGUCACUUAGAGCCCAGAUUGCAAACACGUCGACCAGAACACUGAUAGAGAAGAGGGUUGUGGAGACUGGGUCUGGUGGGCAUGUCAGAACCGUGCUGCAUGCAGAUGAGAUGUGAGCUGGAAGGUUCCUGGCCCACUCCCCUUUACCAUAAGGAACCCAGGGUUCCCCUAUAGCUCUGCUUCCCCCUGGUCUUCCCACUCAGGUGUCUUUGCUCUUGGGGGUCUGAAUCACCUCAGGACAACAUAGGAGAUAUCUGUAUCCUGAGGCCCAGUUAGCCUGUGUAAAAAGAGUACCUCAAAUACUUUUGUUAUGUAUCUGUGAUUUUAUUUCUUCUUUGGGGAUAGGGUUGAGGGAAACAAAAGUUUUGACUAAGAAAUAAAUUUUCUAGUUAAAAUUAUAUCCCAGAAGUUUUAAAUAAGUAGUAAAAGGGGGGAAGGUAGGUACUUGGGAGAUUGCCACCCCCUUUUCUCUCUGCUCCCAUGAUUUCCUGUCCCAAAACAAAUUACUAUAGGGAGAAAGAAACCAAAUUACUCUUUUUUAUUGUGCUUAUUAAUGACAUGGAGAGGAAGAUGGGGAGAAGGGGUUACCACCACAAGAUUCCUAAGAACCAAAGGCGCAAAUCAGUCCAUUUCACUUUCUCUGAGAUAUGGUCUGUAAAAUCCAGGAUAAAAGGGUGGAAUGUAGCUAUAUGGACUCAAUUUGCUUCCGGACCUUUUCCAGAGCCUUUCUGUCCAGUUGUCGCUGACGGAUGAUGACAAGGCAUGCGAAGACCAAAGCCACACCCACCACAGCCCCUUCAAAUUUCCAGAAUAAGUGUUGUUCCAUCAGAGCUGAGCGGCAGCUGAGGAUAGGAAGGAACAGUUAUUCCCAGGGAAGGCCAGACAGCUUCUCCUUACCACUUCCCUUCUACUUCAGCCCCAUCAAGGAGGUAACAGCCAAAAGAAAAAGAGGAAAACAGAGUCAGCCUUAUAAAGUGUUUACAUCAUCUGGUAAGAUAACAAAGAUAACAUUAGCUGAUGUUAUUGAAGAGAAAAUAUGGCCAAUAACAGGGCUGAGAAGUAAAACCAGGACUUGGGUUUAAGUAAUUUAGCUCCAAAUUCCCUCUUUCCAACAUGUCAUGCUAUCCAGGAUGAAGUCACAGGAGGAAAGGAGAUAAUUAGUCUACAAGAAAAGAAAAGCCCUUACCUUUUGAACUCAUUUCUCUUAGAGGAGCUGCAUGUAAUUUUCUCAACAUAACCUGUGGAACCACACUCAGGGAUGGUUUUCUGCCGGGAGAAAAGAACCAAAGCAUGUGUUAGGAAGAGGCAGCAGGAGAAACAGAGAGGUUGCCAUUCAAAAGGGCAAGUGCCCAAAUGCCAAUGGUCAGAGCUGGCCAGAAAACAGAGCUAACAAAGAGCUCUGAUGUGCAUGCUGAAGGUGGUGGUUGCAUGAUUAGAAAUGUGUGUUGGAAAAAACACUUCAGGGUAAGAGUGUAGAAGGACAUAAGGACAGAUUCCAGAGCAUAGUGUAUUAAAAGUGAACAGAACCACAGGGCAUGGAGGUGCAUGCCUGUAAUUCCAGCAACUUGGGAGCCUGAGGCAGGAAGAGCUCAAGUUCCAGCCCAGCCUGGCCAACUUAAACCUUGUCUCAAAAUAAUAAAAAAAGGUCUGGGGAUGAGGCUAGAUGAUAGAGAGCUAGAUGGUAGGAUUGGGUUCAAUCCCCAAUACAGCAAGACAAAAAACAAAAGCAGAACAAAACCUGGUUAUCAGCUGAACGCUGUUAUUAACUUGGAAAGAGAGGAACAUGUUUUCAGGGGGAAGACAAGUUCAGAUUUGGACGUAUACUGACACUGCAAGGAGAAAGAAAAGAGGAUGCAAAGGUAUGCUUAAUGAGACUUGGGGACUGGCUAGAUGUUGGGGGAAAACGGGGGAGGGGAGGGAUGCUCACAGCCUGAAAACUGGAACACGGAGUACACUCUUCUGCGACCACGAACUCUUCUCCCAGCCAGCACGGCAAAGUCGAGGUGCUCACUAAAAGGGGAAAGAAAUGCCGGCCCAGACCACUCAGAAAACGUUUGCCCCUGAAGCUCUACGCACCCAGAUCCCAGGCCAGCGCUGGCCUCGUCCCGUGCGGUGCCACCCUUUUCCGUCCGAGCUCCGGGUGUGUAGGGAAGACAUGCAAAACAAUAAACCACGGGGGCGUGGGGUCGGGCAGCCACCCACCUGACUGCUUCUCCUCCCGCACGGAAGCCUCUGCUCGGCUGUAGCAGGUGGGCGAAGGGGCAAAAAUUAGAAUCCGGAAAACAGGCUCCCCUGCCGCAGCGGUCCGUGACCAGGCAUCCCCCUCCCCAGGUGGGGACGGCUCUCCUCCGGCCCUGCCGGCCUCCCUCGGCCCCCGCCUCCUUACCAGAGCUCUACGGUGAAAGCGCAGAAGAGCCAGCAGAGGUGGAGGCCCUGGGGGAGGCCGCGCCUCCCGGUGCCCGCAGGCAUGGGCGGUCAGGGUCGCACCUGUCGGGACACAGGGACCUGCUAGUUGGGCCGCGAGCCAGUCGGAAAGCAGAGGCGCUCGCCCCGCAGCGCUCCGGGCGAUUCCGGCUCAGGAAGGUGAAACGGCCCGUUGCCCAUCAGGGCCAAAGCUCUGCCGGGACGACCCCACGGUCGCGGCGGGAAAAGCGCCUACGAAUCCGCUGUCAAGGAAGCCGGGCCCCUCGCCGGGGCGCGCGGCGCGGGAGGAAGGCCGGCUGCGGCGCCGGGGCCCAGAGCCGCUCACCUCUGCCCCCGCCCCGCGGGCGGCCAUCCCGCCCGCGGAGGAUGCUGGGGCGUCGCCCGCUGGGACCUGUAGUCCGCCGCGGGGGUGUCCGGGCGGUGCGGAGGGGCGGGUCUCACUGCGCCUGCGCGGCAGGACGCGGCCGAUUGGCUGGGCCGUGAGGCCUGGCGGUCCCGGCAGUGCGGGAGCCGUGGGGCGGUAGCGGUGGCUGGGUCCGUGUCGUUUCUCGGUUUACCGCUUCCUGGGUCGUCGCCUUUCUCCCGUUCUGAGCUAGGUGGACCGUGUCACCCCCUCCGGUGUUCAUUGCUAAACCACUUCGCAGAGCUUUUCAGCUGGUCUCCACUCUCCCUAGCGCCUACAUAAGGGAAUACUUACUAACCCGGUGCGAAGACCGAGAUUGGGAGUUCCCAGAAGUGCUGAGACUAGGUUCAGGAUCUUGUCAACUGUGUGACCUUAGGACAGUGGCUCUCAGUGUUCUGUGUGAAACGGAAUGCUAAUGUGCAUUGCUGCUUUUUGCUAGAUGCUAAUGAAAUGUAUAUGAAAACAUU